UACGUAGGGGGCAAGCGUUGUCCGGAUUUAUUGGGCGUAAAGAGCGUGUAGGCGGCCAUACAGGUCAGCUGUGAAAACUCGAGGCUCAACCUCGAGACGUCGGUUGAAACCGUAUGGCUAGAGUCCGGAAGAGGAGAGUGGAAUUCCCGGUGUAGCGGUGAAAUGCGCAGAUAUCGGGAAGAACACCUAUGGCGAAGGCAGCUCUCUGGGACGGUACUGACGCUGAGACGCGAAAGCAUGGGGAGCGAACAGG
rnacentral:rRNA from 1 species